UCAUCUGGGAAAUAACUACCUACAGGUGUUGCAUCAAAAAUCAAAAUAAGUAACAAGAAGCAAAUGAAAGGAAAAAAAUAAAAAGAAAAGUCUCAAACCAUUGGUCAAAAAGUUUCUAAAGGCCACUGCAAUAUCUUAUUUUCAUAUUCCUAAUCAGUAUUCAAAAGCAGCGACUUAGACCACAAAAUUCCCAGUAAUGUCAACUAUAAUCAGAUACAGAAUUUUUGACAUCUUCAGUAGUGCGCUAUUACCUGAUUAUUUAUAAUCACCAUCCUUUUUUUUUCCUUCUCUUUCUGUCUGACAUUUUCUGAUGCUUAUGAGCACUAAAAUAAUACAUCAGCUUCAAAUUACUGGUCAAGAAGUUUCUAUUCAGCCAUUACAUUGUCUUGUUUUUGCAUCCCUUGAUUACUAUUGAAAAUUAGUGACUUAAACCACAAAAUUCCCAAGAGCGUUCAACUACAAAAAUCAGAAAUGGGAUUUUUGAGAUCCUCAUUAGUGUGCUUCAAGAAGCCAACAUGCCUCAGUCAUGAACCAUUCUACUGAUACUCGGCUGUUAAUUACAUUGCAAGUUCAAGCUGAAUAUAUUAUUAAAGGCCACUUGUGUAUAGAUGCUAACUGACUUUCAAGCUAAAGCUGUCAUGACGAAAGUCUCCCAUCCAGGCACAGUUUUUAUAAUUUCAGAAUAAGACAUGGCUUCUAGCAGCUUGAAUCUGG
rnacentral:misc_RNA from 1 species